rnacentral:rRNA from 1 species
AGGACGAACGCUGGCGGCGUGCUUAACACAUGCAAGUCACGGGGGUCCCGCAAGGGAUAACCGGCGAACGGGUGCGUAACACGUGAACAACCUGCCCUCGUGUGGGGGAUAGCCGGGCUAACGCCCGGGUAAUACCGCAUACGUUCUCUUUGGGGAGUCCCGAGGAGAGGAAAGCUCCGGCGCACGGGGAGGGGUUCGCGGCCUAUCAGCUAGUUGGCGGGGUAAUGGCCCACCAAGGCGACGACGGGUAGCUGGUCUGAGAGGAUGGCCAGCCACAUUGGGACUGAGAGACGGCCCAGACUCCUACGGGAGGCAGCAGUGGGGAAUCUUGCGCAAUGGUCUAACGACUGACGCAGCGACGCCGCGUGUGGGAGGACGCCUUUCGGGGGUGUAAACCACUGUUGCCCGGGACGAACAGCCCUUUUCGAGGGGUCUGACGGUACCGGUGAGGAAGCACCGGCUAACUCCGUGCCAGCAGCCGC